UAAUCACCAGGCCUAAUAAAAGGCCUAGUGCUCAGGCCUAAAGGGGGGCAACUUUUUAGGAGAGUGGUGUGUGUGGGUGAAAGUUCUCCUUUCUGAGUUUUGUCAUUGCUUUUCCUGAGAAGCAUUUGCUUGGCAGAUUGGCCUUUUUUCUCUUUGUUUGGUGUAGAUUUCUGCUUGGUCAUCAUUUUUUCCCUAUAAAAGACGCUUGGGACAGCCAAUCAGAUUCAUCGGGGCUCACCGAUUCAGGAGAGGUCGGAUAAGCACGCCUCCAAAAUCAUCACUGCUUCCAGUCACGCCACCAUUCGGCCGUCUGAAGUGAACACCGCUGCCCUGGCCUGGUUUCAGAGGAGCAAGGUACUGUAACCUCUUUCAUACAAGAUGGCGACCGUCGACAAGUCACCAGAACAACGUACAAAAAAGGUACAAGAACGGGGCGAAUAGUUCGCAUCCCCUUCACCGGUCGCGAUCCCAGCAGCAGUGCUCCUGAGGACACGCGCACAGCGCUCUGUUGCUCUGCGAGAGAUCAGCUUGCCCUCGCACUUGCGAAACGGAGAGGUGACUCACGUUCUCAGUGCUCACGCGGCGCAGAGCAAAGGUCGCCCCGGAGCCAAAGGAAGGAAGCGCUAAAAAAAUGACGCGAACGGAGCCAUUUGUCGAAGGCGAUCGGAAAAAGAUUUUUUUUUUCUCUUUUUCUGUGAAUUAUGAAGAGACUAUGUAUUCUGUGAAUUCUAUAAAUGUCGUUUUCCUGA